GAGAGAGAGAAGCAGCAACGAGUCGAGAUAUAUCUUGACAACAGACAGUUUGAGAGAUUAGAAUUCUAGGAUUUAAAAUAACAAGACUAAUGGUGUUAUUUUAAAUCUUCAAAUUUUUGGGCCCUAAAAUUUGUUUAGGAUUUGGUAUAAAUUCAAAUCCAUUUUUAUUUAACCUCCCAAUCGAAGGAUUUGGCCCAAAUCCAAAUCCACAAACCCAAAUCCAUCAAUCCAAACAGAUAGUAAGGAUUUAGAUUUAAAUUUUGCUGAAAAAAUGCAGGAAAAUUUUAUAAGAAGCACAAUAUGCAUCUUGAAAACUGACUUGAAUAAAAUAGGAGAUAUAAAAUGAUUUAGUUAUGGUUAAAAUGGCGUUAAUCGUUUGAUCUAAAGUGUAAAAUCUUUUUUUUUUUGGUAAUGAAGAUGAGGAAACAACUAAAAACUUUAGGAUAUGAAACCCCACUCAUAUCAUAAUACAAUUAAGGACAAGGAUCAAGCAAGGGAGAGCUGAGAACAUGCAUUUCCAUGAGAAGGGAUAUGGUAAAAUUGGACAAAGAUCAAACAUCAGAAAAUGCUGGAUAUAUGCAACUUGGCAUUGAAACGAUCUAGGAGCAAAAUGAAAAAAAGAGUAGAAAAUCAAACAAAAAACUUAAAAUGGAUUGAGCUAUAAGCCUCUAAUUCAGGGCCUAGGCAAAGGACCAGCCCCAAAUUGCACCAGCAAGCAGCAUAACUAUUAUUAAUUUUGGGAAAAUUAUUACUUAGUUCCUCUAAUUUAAUGAAACUAACUACUUGGUUUUCCUAUUCUAAAAAUACAUUAGUUAGUCCUUGUAUUUUUGUUUCAUUUACUCUUUAAUCCCUCCAUCUAGUCUAAAUCAAGUUUUAUGUUAGUCAUUUUAUUCAAAGAAGAGAGAAACAACCAUUACAGGGAAAUAAUUCAAGAGUUAGAAAAUAUAAUGACUCUAUAGUUGUGCUUUCCAAAUUACAGGGAAUAAAUGGAAUUCAAAAAUGCGUAAAAUGAAAAGAGAGAUUAAAGAGUAAACGGAAUAAAA
rnacentral:misc_RNA from 1 species